UGAGGUACCGUAUACUGCAAUACAAAUCUGGGGAAUGGAUGAUUCUUCUUUGUAACAAAGACACUAUUGAAGUGAUCUGAUACAUCAGUUCUGAUUAGAACAAAGCAAUCUUCAGUUCAAGUUGAGAUAUCCUUUUACAUAGGGCUUCUAUUUACCAAAGCAAGACAAAUACUUUUUACAGGUGGUUGGUUCAGGAAAGUUUUCCAUGGAAGAAAACUGUGCCUAAGAAAACCCAGGCCUAAUCUGCAGCCUGACUCCAUAGUCCAGAAUCUAUUCUUUGUGGUAAGUUUUUCAGGGGCUUCUAAACUUCCAGCUAACCUCAGCUACAUCAUCCUCAGUCAACUAAAGGUGUGUGAACAACCUGCAACCUCAAAGGAAACAGGGGUGAGGUUUUCCAUUACUUUCUUUCCAGAAAUCAUUUUAGAAAUUUGCCCAUCCCCCUCAUGGCAUUCUUAGAAUUUCAUAUUCUAAGGGAUUUAGAGUGGAGCAGCUUCAGUCACAGGGGAAAAAUUAAAAAGAAGCCUAAUGCACUUUUGCCCCAGAACAAUGGAUGCCUAUUUGUCUUACAUCCACUUAAUUAAAAAUGGUUCUUCCCACAGCAAAGUAAUGUCUACACUGGUAAAAGUCAAAGUAUUUGUCAGUUUUUAAAAUGCCUAAUUUCUCAUUAGAAGACUUCAAGUUCUGCCUCAAUAGUCAUCCAUCUACACUAUUAUUUUUAUUCUUAUUGUUUUCAUUUCAAAAUUGAGGAGUUUAAAAAGUCCCUUGAGAAGACAACUUGAGAUAAAGCAGCAAAUCUGAUUCUUUUAAAAUCCUGUACUCUAGUCAAUUACCAUUCUGACUUUGGUCUAUCAUACACAGGAAGAUACUUUAGCCUUUCAAUGAGGUUUCUCAAAUGAUAUAUUGAAUUUUAGGUUCAUUUCACAUGACCACAGUUAUCCUUUUUUUUUUUUUCAAUUAAAAAUUUCCUGGUAGUUUGUUCCUUUAAAAAAGUCUUUGGAAAUUCUCACUUCUCAUAGUUCACAUGAAAUCCAGGUAACUUCUUUUGACCUGUGGCUUUAAUAAAGGAAGAAAAAACCUAGUUGUUAAGUAUGAUCAGUGUGUUAGUUUGACAUCCACAUCAAAGAAAAUAACUCUCUAAGCAAGGCUGUCCUUAAAGCUGGAGACAGACUUGUCAGUAACUCACAGCCGGAAAAACUUGAUUUCUAGAACCGUGAUCAAACUGUCAGGACAAUGCUGCUUCCAUGAGAAUCAAGACAAGCCCACCCGUCUGAUUUUUUCCAGACAUAACUAAGAACUCCAAAGGUGAGCCAACAAACCAAGUGAAAGACAUCAAAUAAUUGCAUCACUAUUUCCCUUGAGGGAUUUUGUCCUAAAGACUAAGAAAACCCUCUUAAAUUAGCUCUAAUUAAAUGUUGUGAAUCUGUGGUUCCACCAUUCAGAAAAUGGAU
rnacentral:lncRNA from 1 species